UACGUAGGGAGCAAGCGUUGUUCGGAUUCAUUGGGCGUAAAGGGUGCGUAGGCGGCGCGGUAAGUCGGAUGUGAAAUCUUGGAGCUUAACUCCGAAACUGCAUUCGAUACUGCCGUGCUUGAGGACUGGAGAGGAGACUGGAAUUUACGGUGUAGCGGUGAAAUGCGUAGAUAUCGUAAGGAAGACCAGUGGCGAAGGCGGGGUCUCUGGACAGUUCCUGACGCUGAGGCACGAAGGCCAGGGGAGCAAACGGG
rnacentral:rRNA from 1 species